CAAAACACCACCAUACGGUUGCGCGGUCAUCCUUGGCGUCUCGGUUUCGGCCGGGGCGCGGGGAUGGCUAGCCCACGUGACAACCACA
rnacentral:rRNA from 1 species